AGCACAAAUUUAGCAAGGGAGUGUGCAUCUCUGCAUCGCUUUGUAAGUCUGAUAUUUUCCCCAUUUUUUCUUUUCGCUGAUCUCACAUGUCGAAGAGCCUUCUUUCUCGUAUAAAGCACCUGUGCAACCAGAAACCCAAUCGCAGUUCACCCUGGACCCUCCGAGUCGCACCCCGCAUCAAGGAACUCGUCAUUGAGGUUUGCGAAAUCCUCAGAACUCAAAACCACUGGGAACAGAAUCUCGAGACCCGCCUUUCGGAGGCCCAAGUGGUUCCAUCAGAAAUUGCCUACCUUGUGUUCGACAAAAUUCAGGAUGCUGAAUUGGGCUUGAAGUUCUUUGAUUGGGUCUCUCGGAGACCCUACGGUUGUCCCCUUGAUGGGUUUGCGUACUCUUCUCUAUUGAAGCUACUCGCAAAGUUCAGAGCUUUCCCGGAAAUUGAAGCCCUGUUGCUGGAGUCUACGAAAUGUGAAGAGACGUUGCCUACAAGAGAGGCAUUCUGCGACGUGAUUCAAGCUUGUUCGAAUUCCGGGUUGGUUGACAAAGCUCUCGAACUGUACUCAUUUGUGUUGAAAACCUAUAAUUUGCUUCCAGACAUAGUCGCGUGUAACUCUUUGCUUCAUGCGCUUGUGAAUAAUGGUCGAGUUGAAGUUGCGAGGCGGGUGUAUAAUGAGAUGGUUAGGAGGGAUAAUGGUAUAGAAAAUCAUUGUUUGGAUAAUUAUAGCACUUGUAUAAUUGUGAGGGGCUUGUGUAAAGAGGGUAAGGUUGAUGAAGGUAGGAAACUUAUCAGGGAUAGAUGGGGAAAGGAUUGUGUUCCAAAUAUUGUGUUCUAUAAUAUACUGAUUGAUGGGUAUUGCAAAAGGGGUGAUAUUCAGAGUGCUUAUAAACUUUUCCAGGAUUUGAAUUUGAUGGGCUUUUUGCCCACAGUGGAGACAUAUGGAGCAAUGAUAAAUGGGUUUUGCAAAGAGGGAAGUUUUGAGAAAGUUGAUGAGCUUCUGAGAGAUAUGGUUGCUAGGGGUCUUUCCGUCAAUGUCCAUGUCAAUAACACCAUAAUUGAUGCUAAAUAUCGGCAUGGUUCUGCAUUGAAACCACUGGAUGUUAUUAGGAAAAUGCUUGAAGAGGGCUGUGAGCCUGAUUUGGUGACAUAUAAUACUUUGAUAUCCGCUUCAUGCAAGGCUGGGAAAAUUGAGGAGGCUGAAAAGCUUCUAGGCAAUGCAAGAGACAGGGGAUUGGUGCCUAAUAAGCGUAGUUACACUCCAUUGAUACACGUGUAUUGCACACAGGGAGAUAUAGACAGGGCUUCAGAUCUGCUUCUUAAGAUGACUGAACUUGGUGAUCCACCUGAUCUGCCAACUUAUGGAGCUUUUAUCCAUGGUUUUGUACACAAUGGGCAGGUUGAUGUUGCCUUGACUAUUCUAGACAGGAUGAUUGAGAAGGGUGUAUUACCUGAUUCUGGCAUCUAUAAUGUCUUGAUGAAUGGGCUGUGCAAAAAAGGGAAGCUUCCUGCUGCCAAGCAGCUUCUUUCUGAGAUGCUUUGUAACAAUAUAUUACCUGACAUGUAUAUUUAUGCCACUCUAUUGGAUGGAAUCAUAAGAAGUGGAGAGCUGAAUGAGGCAAAGAAGCUCUUUGAACAUGCAUUUGAGAAAGGUGUAAAUCCUGGGGUUGUAGGUCAUAACGCAAUGAUAAAGGGAUACUGUAAGUUUGGGAUGAUGAAAGAGGCCGUGUCAUGUGUGUGUAGGAUGAAAAAGAUGAAUACUUCUCCUGAUGAGUAUACUUAUUCCACUAUAAUAGAUGGAUUUGCAAAGCAACAUAACUUGGGUGGUGCAUUAACAACAUUCUGUCAAAUGGUGAAACAGAAGUGUUUACCAAAUGUGGUCACUUAUACCUCUCUAAUUAAUGGGUUUUGCCACAUUGGUGACUUUCAAAGAGCACUAAAAUAUUUCCAUUAUAUGCAGUCAAAUGGUUUGAUUCCUAAUGUUGUUACUUAUACUAUAUUGAUAGGUGGCUUUUGUAAGGAUGGAGAACUUGCAAAAGCAGCAUCCUUGUUUGAACAAAUGCUAAUUUCCAAGUGCUGUCCAAAUGAUUAUACCUUUAAUUAUUUGGUUAAUGGAUUUUCAAAUUAUACACAAUCCGUAGUCCUGAAGGAAGGAAAUAAUACUAAGAACUGCAAGACAUCAAUGUUUUUAGAUGCUUUUAAAAGGAUGAUUUCAGAUGGAUGGCUUCCUAAAACUGCUGCAUAUAACUCAAUUAUUAUUUGUCUUAGUUUACAUGGGAUGUUACAAGCUGCACUGCAAUUGCAGGGAAAUAUGGCCAGUAAGGGUCUUUGCAUGGAUUCUGUUUCCUUUGCUGCCUUGUUGCAUGGCAUUUGUUUAGAUGGAAAGUCAAAGGAAUGGAAGAGCAUUAUUCCCUGCAAUUUAAAUGAACCUGAACUCUGUACUGCUUUGAACUACUCUCAAAUAUUUGAUCAGUACCUAGCUCACGGUAUGAACUUUGAGGCUUCAGUAAUUUUGCACAACUUGGUCAAUGACUGUAAGUCUCAUUAUCUUCACAUGGAUAAUAUUGAAGUUUCAUAAAAAAAACGUGUUGGUUUCACUUGCCUUUCAUGCAUUUGCAAAUAUCUUUGAGAGAGUUGUGGGUGAUUGGAUGCCAAAGUCAUGGGUAAGCUAGUAAUUAGUUGGGUGUUGGAAAGACUCAUGAAAAGCACAUAAGACAUUUGAAUCUGGGCAAUUGUAUGAAGCACAUGCUUUGCUGUACUUUUCGUGUGAAGCACUGAAGAACAAAAGGCUGAUAGAAGUGCUUUUUGUUUAACUUGUAAAAAUCAGCUUGCCAAUCCCAAGAAAUUGGUUCCAAAUUGUCAGGCAUUCAGACCCCAGCUCACUGUAUUUUUCUCUCUUUCUCCUGCUUCUCUCCCUUCAAGCACAGAAAUGGUAGAGAAAACCAUUCAUGGAGCUCCAGAAGCUCAUUAGCAGAUAUUCACAGCUUGCAGAAGAAGCAACAACUACUACACAACCUCCAAGUCCAAAGGAUUUUCUCUUUGAAGAUUGUAAUUGAAGGAAAUGCCAUAAAUUCAGAGUUAGGUGGGUUGGAAUAAUUGGUCGUGCUCAAAUUUGACUCAAGGAGUGACGGACUGAACAUCAAGCUCAGUUGGGCUCAGUUCAACAAUAGGGGAAUUAUUGGACCCUUGACAAGCUGACCUUAUUGUGGCUUUCAGGGGUGACUACUGGGAAACUGCUAUCAGAAGGGUUCAUCAAAGGAUGAAGAAAAGCCCCAAGAGCAGGUAGGAAGAUGGGAGGUUAAUAUCAGAGGCGCAAAUUUCAAUGUGCAGAUAUGGAAGCUACCAAAAAUAUUUGGAAAUGACAGUCCGUUUGGCUCUUCGUUUUUAAUCUACAGUCUAUUAACUAUUAGGCUAAGGUUUGAAGAACAAUCAUCUUGUUGUUUUCAGAUGCGGAUCAAGAGAAAAAGAGACAAGUUUGCAGCCAUAAACAAAUGGGUUGUGAACUCUGGACUACUAUAAAGUGAGUGAUUCUUGGUGGCAGAUGGGUUAUAAGCAACUUCCUUGUGUGUAGUUCAUGGUUUUAAUACUUCCAUUAAGAAUUGGGAUAAAAUUUAUUUUGGCCCGAUGAUGAAAGGUGUGAAUUGGAUCCCGGUAUGAUCAGUGGGUUGAGUGUGGGAUUCACAAUUUACCUCUGUUGUGAUUCUAAGUAUAUUAAUAAAAAAAUUAUUUUGAUUUUGAUUUUGAUUUU